AUACGUAGGUGGCAAGCGUUGUCCGGAAUUAUUGGGCGUAAAGCGCGCGCAGGCGGUCCUUUAAGUCUGAUGUGAAGGCCCACGGCUCAACCGUGGAGGGUCAUUGGAAACUGGAGGACUUGAGUGCAGACGAGGAAAGUGGAAUUCCAAGUGUAGCGGUGAAAUGCGUAGAGAUUUGGAGGAACACCAGUGGCGAAGGCGACUUUCUGGUCUGUAACUGACGCUGAGGCGCGAAAGCGUGGGGAGCAAACAGGAUUAGAUACCCUGGUAGUCCACGCCGUAAACGAUGAGUGCUAAGUGUUAGGGGGUUUCCGCCCCUUAGUGCUGCAGCUAACGCAUUAAGCACUCCGCCUGGGGAGUACGGUCGCAAGACUGAAACUCAAAGGAAUUGACGGGG
rnacentral:rRNA from 1 species